UACGUAGGGGGCAAGCGUUGUCCGGAUUUAUUGGGCGUAAAGAGCGUGUAGGCGGCCUGAAAGGUCAGCUGUGAAAACUCGAGGCUCAACCUCGAGACGUCGGUUGAAACCAUCUGGCUAGAGUCCGGAAGAGGAGUGUGGAAUUCCCGGUGUAGCGGUGAAAUGCGCAGAUAUCGGGAAGAACACCCGUGGCGAAGGCGGAGACCUGGGCCAAUACUGACGCUGAGGUGCGAAAGCGUGGGGAGCAAACAGGG
rnacentral:rRNA from 1 species